AAUGUAUAGGGGCUCAAAUUAUUUACCGAAACGAUAAAUUUAACAAAUAAGUUAAAUGGUAGCAGAACGUUCUGUAAAUCUAAAAAGAUUUAUGGUGACAUAAAUUGAAGAAAUCAGAAUUGAAAAUGUUGAUAUGAGUAGCGAUAAACAAUGUGAAAAACAUUGUCGCCUUAAGUUCAAGGUUUCCAAAGCAAGGCUAAUCCUCUUUGGGUAAAUCGGUCCCUAAAAAUAAAACGAAAG
rnacentral:rRNA from 1 species